UGAGAUUAGCAGCUUCAUUGCAAGGAACAGCUGCUCUUUCAGUUUACCUGCUCAGAUAUGACUUGGUUUAUCAAUUACUCAGAAGCAUUUCUUAUCUCAGCAUCUAAGUCCUUGGGUCUCAGAGAAAGGCUGGAUCUGAAUCUGGCCAUGACAGCAGCCUUAGUGGCCUGACAGCCUUUGCAGAGCUCUGGCAUUCGGAACACUUAGCUUUUCUCUGUCUCUGCUUCUCUCUGCUUGUGUGUCUGUCCCUUCAGUCUUGCAGCUUCUGUUUGAUCAUGGCUUUCACUGCCUCGGAGCAUCUGCAUAUUCUCUUUCUCUUGUGUGUUUUUCAGUUUCUUUGCUUUCCACAGGCCUCCAGCUGUGCUCGUGUGUGUCUAAUUCAAAAACUGUGAAAGAAGUAAUGUCUUGAUUAAUUAAUCAUCACCUUAGUAGGACUUGCAUCAGCACCUAAAAUUGCCUGCCUGGAGCUCAGAUACUGGUCUCAACUCCGUUUAGUUGAGACCCUGGUGAUCGUGUCACAUGCUAUUAAACUUGGAGAGCUAUGUGUAGAAGAAUGGUCCACGGAUGUUUUUAUCAGAAGUGAAUCUGAGGUUACGGUGAGUUCUCAUGGUCACGGCCUGUCUAUUAUAGUAGCAUUUAUGCAUUUCAUGAGUUCUAAGCAUUUUGCAGGUUGUUAUUACCAUGCUUUGUAACCUACAUCAUUUAUGGAAAAUUCUACUUUGUCUCUUAGAUGCCCUUGAAGUUAGAAGCACUUAGGAAAACACUUGUGUCGAGUGCAUUGUAUAGCAUUACGGUAAGAGUGUCUUAUGAAAAUAAAUCCUUAAGGAAAGAAAGGAUGGAUAAAACAUCUGCAUGUCCCUCCUGGCCAUCUUGUUUCUUUCUCCAUCAAUGGUAUUUACUCUUUCAAUCUACAACCAGUGUGGUUUUAACAUUCUUUUCAACUGAAGACCAAAUAUUUAAAAGCAAAUCUAAUAGGGGUGCCUGGGUGGCUCAGUUGGUUAAGCAUCUGACUCUUGGUUUUGGCUCAGGUCAUAAUCUCAGGGUUCUGAGACCAAGCCCUGCAUUGGGCUCUGCACUGGGUGUGUGGCUUGCUUAAGAUUCUCU
rnacentral:lncRNA from 12 species